GACAGAGGUGCCGAGCGUUAGGCGGAAUCACUGGGCUUAAAGCGUGUGUAGGCGGGUCGUUAAGUACCUUGUGAAAUCCCCCGGCUCAACCGGGGAACGGCUGGGUAUACUGGCGAUCUUGAGCCACCUAGGGGCAGUCGGAACAAGUGGUGGAGCGGUGAAAUGCGUAGAUAUCGGGAGGAACACCGGUGGCGAAGGCGGUUCUCUGGGCCUGACCUGACGCUGAGGAGCGAAAGCGUGGGGAGCGAACAGG
rnacentral:rRNA from 1 species